rnacentral:lncRNA from 1 species
AAUAAUCUUGUAUCAUCUUCAGGCUGUGUCACCUCACUACUCACCCUCAGCUUCCUUCGAAGACGCCUCGAGCAGCCUGUGUGCCCGUGACAAAGUGAGGGAACCCAGCAAAUGCUGCUUGCCAGCCUGCCAGGGAACUGCUCACUACAAUUUUCCCUGCUCCUGGCUGUGGUUGCCCAUGGGUGGCAGAACCAUCCGUCAGCCUACACAGAGACAGGAAAAGGCCCUGGCACCUCCCACUAGCUCUGUCUGGGGACUGCAGAGAUGAAGGUGCAACAGCAUCUCUGGGGAUGGCCUGGGAGCUGGGAAAUUACCAGCCCUGGGAGUGUGUCCUGUCAGAGGAGAAGCUGGAGGAGCUGGAUGCUGCUGCUGCUGCUGCUGCUGCUGUGCCCGGGUACCAGCAGGGCUGGGCAGGCAGGGCAGGAGUGCUGCAGCUCAGCCCUGCAGGGCUGCCAUGAUCUGCCUGCCACAUGCAACAGCCCCAAACCCUCCAGGAGCUUCCACACAGUGUCUCUCAAAGGGCUGCUUCUCCUCCCCAACACCCCACAGAUGUGUUAAGUGACACAGGGCCUGGCAGAGCCUGCAAGCCCCUGCAGCUGCCCUGUGCUGGGAUGACAGCUGCCCGUUUAUUCCUCCUCUGUUUUCUCUCUCUUGGUGAGCCUUUGAUCCAUGGCAAUACUUUGCCUCUCGCUCCACGACAACUUAAUUUCUAUAGUAACCUCCUGUGCUGGA